rnacentral:rRNA from 1 species
AGAGUUUGAUCAUGGCUCAGGAUGAACGCUAGCGGCAGGCUUAAUACAUGCAAGUCGAGGGGCAGCAUGAGUAGCAAUACUUGAUGGCGACCGGCAAACGGGUGCGGAACACGUACAGAACCUUCCUUCGAGCGGGGAAUAGCCCGGAGAAAUCCGGAUUAAUACCCUAUAGUAAAUUGAAAAGGCAUCUUUUUAAUUUUAAAGAUUUAUCACUUGAAGAUGGCUGUGCGCCUGAUUAGGUAGUUGGCGGGGUAACGGCCCACCAAGCCUUCGAUCAGUAACUGGCGUGAGAGCGCGACCAGUCACACGGGCACUGAGACACGGGCCCGACUCCUACGGGAGGCAGC